GUUCUAAGUUCUGUGAAGCUGUUCCGCACUGGAAAACUCGAAUUUAAUUUAUAGUAGCAAGAUCCAAACAGCACUGACAACUAAGUGAAAGCACACAAACAACAUACCACAGCAGCAAAGGCAAAUGCAAGAGGGAAAGCAAAAGCAAACAUCAUGACCAUUCCAAAUUGCAAUGUUAACCGCAAAAAGUCUCCACACAGUUUUUUUUCCUGUUUUUUUCCUGAUUAGCAGAAGAAUGGUUUGAAACUGAUCAAAAAUUUUCUUCGGCAGUACAGGCUACAGUCAAAAGUUUUCACGUAGAUUUGAAAUCUAUAGAUCUCUUAUCAUUUCAAGUUUGGGUUGGCUACAAUAAUCUACCUCAACAAAUCAAAUUAGAAGAGAGCCUUAUGUCAACCAUAACACAUUCCUAAUUGGGGUCCCCCAUACCCGCCCUUUUGCUGUCCUUCCCGAGAAGUGCUUAUUUUAAUUGCCAUGGAGCAAGAUGAAUUGUUGUAAAUAUCAUAGGCUUGAAAUGUCUCCAUAUAUCGUUUGGUAUCGCAAGUUUAAUAGCAUAUUACCAUCAAAAAGACAAUCUUCCAGUUCUUCACCAAUACUUGCAGAA
rnacentral:misc_RNA from 1 species